AUUGAACGCUGGCGGCAUGCCUUACACAUGCAAGUCGAACGGUAACGGGCCUUCGGGUGCCGACGAGUGGCGAACGGGUGAGUAAUGUAUCGGAACGUACCUUUCAGUGGGGGAUAACGUAGCGAAAGUUACGCUAAUACCGCAUAUUCUGUGAGCAGGAAAGCGGGGGAUCGCAAGACCUUGCGCUGAUUGAGCGGCCGAUAUCAGAUUAGCUAGUUGGUGAGGUAAAGGCUCACCAAGGCGACGAUCUGUAGCGGGUCUGAGAGGAUGAUCCGCCACACUGGAACUGAGACACGGUCCAGACUCCUACGGGAGGCAGCAGUGGGGAAUUUUGGACAAUGGGGGCAACCCUGAUCCAGCCAUGCCGCGUGAGUGAAGAAGGCCUUCG
rnacentral:rRNA from 2 species